rnacentral:rRNA from 1 species
GACGAACGCUGGCGGCGUGCUUAACACAUGCAAGUCGAACGGAAAGGCCCUGCUUUUGUGGGGUGCUCGAGUGGCGAACGGGUGAGUAACACGUGAGUAACCUGCCCUUGACUUUGGGAUAACUUCAGGAAACUGGGGCUAAUACCGGAUAGGAGCUCCUGCUGCAUGGUGGGGGUUGGAAAGUUUCGGCGGUUGGGGAUGGACUGGCGGCUUAUCAGCUUGUUGGUGGGGUAGUGGCUUACCAAGGCUUUGACGGGUAGCCGGCCUGGGAGGGUGACCGGCCACAUUGGGACUGAGGUACGGCCCAGACGCCUACGGGAGGCAGCAGUGGGGAAUAUUGCACAAUGGGCGGAAGCCUGAGGCAGCAACCCCGCGUGCGGGAUGACGGCCUUCGGGUUGUAAACCGCUUUCGCCUGUGACGAAGCGUGAGUGGCGGUAAUGGGUAAAGAAGCACCGGCUAACUACGUG